UCAAAGAAAGAAAAGAACAUUUAGUACUUUAAAUAACAGAGAAAAUAUGUUACUCUUCGUUGUUUUGCUUGUCUUUUGCUUGUGCUCCUGGCCAGAGAAGGAGUGAAAGCUGUAAAAUGAAUAUUCAUCCUGAUACUGUAAAGAGCUGGGUGGCAAGUGCAUUUCCUGGUCUGUCUUAAGAUAUCCCAAAACCUCAAAAAAUGAAGAGGACAGAAGAUGCAAGGCACAACAGAGGAGCUGACUUCAAAUCUUGCCUCUGGAAAAGGCAAGCUGCCCCAGAGCCAUCUGCAUUUCUCCUGAAGUGAAGAUGUAGACAUAGAUUCCCAU